rnacentral:rRNA from 1 species
UAGUCAUAUGCUUGUCUCAAAGAUUAAGCCAUGCAUGUCUCAGUGUAAACUUUUAAACAGUGAAACUGCGAAUGGCUCAUUAGAACAGUUAUAGUUUAUUUGAUAUUCACUUUUACAUGGAUAACCGUGGGAAUUCUAGGGCUAAUACAUGCGUACCCGCAAGGGUUGUGUUUAUUAGAUUAAAACCAUCACUGCAGCAAUGCAGUUUUGUUGGAAUAAUAAUAACCGAUCGAACCGCACGCUUUAUGUGGCGGUAAAUCAUUCAAGUUUCUGACUU